rnacentral:rRNA from 1 species
UUUUAUGGAGAGUUUGAUCCUGGCUCAGGAUGAACGCUGGCGGCGUGCCUAAUACAUGCAAGUCGAGCGAACGGACGAGAAGCUUGCUUCUCUGAUGUUAGCGGCGGACGGGUGAGUAACACG